UACGGAGGGUGCAAGCGUUAUCCGGAUUCACUGGGCUUAAAGGGUGCGUAGGCGGGCAGGUAAGUCAGUGGUGAAAUCUUCGAGCUUAACUCGGAAACUGCCGUUGAUACUAUCUGUCUUGAAUGUUGUGGAGGUGAGCGGAAUACGUCAUGUAGCGGUGAAAUGCUUAGAUAUGACAUAGAACACCGAUUGCGAAGGCAGCUCACUACACAACGAUUGACGCUGAGGCACGAAAGCGCGGGGAUCAAACAGG
rnacentral:rRNA from 1 species